rnacentral:lncRNA from 1 species
GGGCUUAACCCUCUAGCCGCUGGGCACGCGCGGGCUACCGGGGCGGAGGCGUACGGGGGCGGCGAGCGGGGCUCGGCUCCUCCUCGUCCCGCGCCAGCGCCGCGCCCGGCCGCAUUCUCGGGGCCCGAGGCUCAGCCGCUCGCGGUGGAGAAAGCAGGCCGCGGAGGAGGCGGGCGCCCAGGCCUGCCCGGACAGGAAGUGGGCCCAGCUUUCCCACUCCUCGCUCCGCUCCUUCCUCCGCGGGAAGGGCAGGCCCCGGAGGCAGCGAGCGCCCCGGGGGUGGCCGGGCAGCCGGAUGCUCCCGGGGUUGCGGGCUGUGGCCCCGGGGGCUGAGGGCGGCGCGGGUGCGGCGGAAGCAGGGAAGCCGCGAACCGGCCUUCUGGCUGGCCACAGCGCCCUGCACGGACGAUCAGUGAAUGGAGAUUACUCAAGUAUUUAUCGAGAACUUGCAGUGGGCUAGGCACAGUUCAGAAAGAUCAAGAACUCUGAAGCACCUCGACUUUCCACCUGUGAAGAUGUGUUCAAAUUUGCAACGUGCGGCCACACCUAUGAGGUUGAACUUUAUACAAUUGGUUUCUUUAUAGGUUUAGAUGGUUGAAUUUAAGUUACCCCCACUGCUAUUAUUAUUAUUUUGAGACAGAGUCUUAACUCUGUUGCCCAGGCAGGAGUGCAGUGGCGAGAUCUGGACUCACUGCAACCUCUGCCUCCUGGCUUCAAGCAAUUCUCAUGCUUCAGCCUGUAGCUGGAACUACAGGUCACUCCCUCUGGAGGAAACCAGCUGCCACUUUGUGAGGAUACUCAUAGUCCUGUGGAGGCAUAUCCUCCAUAUGGCUGAGACCUCCUGCGAACAACCAUCACUGACUUGCCAGACAUGAGUGUGCCACCUUGGAAGCAGAUUUUCCAGCCCCAGUUAAGCCUUCAGAUGACAUCAGCCCCUGCUAAUCUCUUGACUACAACCUCAUGAGAGACCCUGAGCCAGAACUAGCCAGGCUUACCCCUCAUGGUUACAAAGUGGCUGCAACAGCUCCAGGUGUUCUAUCCUUUAACACAGAAUAACUCAAACAACAAGACCCAAUAUUCAGACAAGAAGGAAAGGGACUUUUGGAGAGUGAAGAAAACUUUCCUAGAAACCUCAAACUUCUCCCCAUGCCUUAUUGGCCAGAUUGUAUCCCAUGCCCAUUUCUAAACCAAUCAUUGGCAAAGUGAGUGGAAUUGACGUGAUUAGAUUAACUUUACCAAGAAUGCAUCCUCAGAGAGGCUGAGAAAAAGUCCAGCCUCCUUUGAAGAGCCUGGCUACCUUUCACCUGAACAAAACAAGAAUUCUGAUGAAAAAUGGAGAAUGUAUGUGGAGCAGGCACCCGGAGUGUCUAUGCCAGGAUUUUUUUUCAGUGCGUUUCACCGGUUAUAUUUUUGUCUCUUUACCUUACAAGAUAUGUGGCACGUUUGCCUAAAACAAGCCUUGCUUUCUGAUUUCUGUGCACUAGGCACUUAAACCUUGCAAAUGUCGCUUACCUAACAGUCACUGUCAAGGAGUACCUGGCUAAAGAAUCUCCAGCUAGACAAAGUAGAAGUGUCUGUGCUCUGGCAGUUGAAUAUAUUGUAUCAGGCUCAACAGCACCUUUCACCAAAGGAUGAGACUUCACAACCAUUAGAUCUUCUUUUAUUUUGUUUUUAUUAAAAAAAAAAAUUUUAACACACCAUUGCUAACUUGAAGCCAUUAGAUCUUCUUACCCCCAAUACCACAAAAGUUUAGUGGAAUCAGGGGUAUACCAAGGCAGGUGGAGUAGGGGAGCUGGGAGUGGUCAGCCCCCAGGGCAGGCAAUGAGGGAUUGUGAAUCUGUGAAGAAUUUUAAAGCAAUGAUACAGCUCUAAAUGCAAUGUACUAUCCUGGACUUAGCCCUGGAAAAGAAAAAAGAUAUUAGUGGAAAAACUGGUAAAAUUCAAAUAAUGUCUGUAGUUUGGUUAAUAGUAUUAUACCAAUGUUAAUUUCUGUGUUUUGAUAAAUGUACCAUGGUUAUGUAAGCUGGAUGAAAGAUAUGUGGGAAAUCUCUCUACUAUUUCUGCAACUCUCCUGUAAACCUAAAAAUGUUUCAAAAUAAAAGAUUUAAUGCUAAAAUUGACUGAAAAUUGAUCUGCUUUUUUAUUAUCACCAUGCACUGCAC